rnacentral:rRNA from 1 species
CCUACGGGUGGCAGCAGUGGGGAAUAUUGCGCAAUGGGGGCAACCCUGACGCAGCCAUGCCGCGUGAAUGAAGAAGGCCUUCGGGUUGUAAAGUUCUUUCGGUAGCGAGGAAGGCACUUAGUUUAAUAAACUAGGUGAUUGACGUUAACUACAGAAGAAGCACCGGCUAACUCCGUGCCAGCAGCCGCGGUAAUACGGAGGGUGCGAGCGUUAAUCGGAAUAACUGGGCGUAAAGGGCACGCAGGCGGUGACUUAAGUGAGGUGUGAAAGCCCCGGGCUUAACCUGGGAAUUGCAUUUCAUACUGGGUCGCUAGAGUACUUUAGGGAGGGGUAGAAUUCCACGUGUAGCGGUGAAAUGCGUAGAGAUGUGGAGGAAUACCGAAGGCGAAGGCAGCCCCUUGGGAAUGUACUGACGCUCAUGUGCGAAAGCGUGGGGAGCAAACAGGAUUAGAUACCCGGGUAGUC